ensembl:misc_RNA Metazoa_SRP Metazoan signal recognition particle RNA
GCCAGGUGCGGUGGCUCACACCUGUAAUCCCAGCACUUUGGGAGGCCGAGGCGGGUGGAUCACCUGAGGUCAGGAGUUCGAGGCCAGCCUGGCCAACAUGGUGAGACCCCGUCUCUA